UACGGGGGGGGCAAGCGUUGUUCGGAAUUACUGGGCGUAAAGGGUCUGUAGGUGGCUUGCUAAGUCAGACGUGAAAUCCCUCGGCUUAACCGGGGAACUGCGUCUGAUACUGGCGAGCUUGAGUGCAGGAGAGGAACGCGGAAUUCCAGGUGUAGCGGUGAAAUGCGUAGAUAUCGUAAGGAAGACCAGUGGCGAAGGCGGGUCUCUGGACAGUUCCUGACGCUGAGGCACGAAGGUCAGGGGAGCAAACGGG
rnacentral:rRNA from 1 species